GCUCAUUCGGAUUCACGCAUCUCAUUCUUCGUGGCUUUAUUUGAGAAAAAUUACAAAACGUCUAAUAAAAAUAAUUCUUAUAACCGAUAGUCAGCAAGAACAGUGAGCCAGAAUAUUCAAUUUAAAGAACGACAUUAACAGUACACGAUUUGAGAUACAUAGUGCAUAUCAUAGGAAGAGAGAAAAUGUUGACGGAUUGGGAAUGGGAUUAUUGUACAAUAGAAAACAAUAUAGCAAUAUGCUGUAUUUGUGGUAAAAAUUUUGAGUGUGAAAUAGACACAAGUAGCGCAAAAGAACACAUAGAGACUCGACAUAAUCGCAAUUGUGUUUCAUUAAGAGAUGAAACACAACCUUUAUCAGAAAAGGGACAGUGGAGAUUAAUUUCCAAGCAUUUCAAAACGUCGGGAAACGGUAAUCUGAGGUGCAAAAUUUGUAGGAAAGUUUUUUUUCUUGAAAAAAAAGCUGACAGACUGAUGGAACACUUAACCGACAUACAUGAAGUUAAUAAAGAUAAAACGGACAAACUCCAGACCUGGCUAUGGACUUAUUAUAAAUAUAUUCCAUAUGAAACAAAUAUAAAUAGGAUAAUAAUAAAGCAAUUAUGCAGCAUAUGCAAUGAAGAUUUCACCAGCUCUAAUAUUUUCAUUUUUAUGAAACAUUUGAUCAAUGUGCAUCAGGCUGACGUACCUUUAGAAUUCAGACCAAAGGUUGAUGUACUUUCAGAACUCAAAACAAAAGAAUAAAAUAAACAAUGCUCAUUUCUAAUGCUAAUGCAAAAAUGCAAAAAAACAGAAGAUGAAAGGAGAACCGUUUCAGGAGAUCACAGCUUAAUUGACAUUCAUUGCCGCAUUUUACUAUUUCCUACAAAUAUCC